rnacentral:rRNA from 1 species
AUUGAACGCUGGCGGCAAGCCUAACACAUGCAAGUCGAACGAGUGGCGGACGGGUGAGUAAUGUCUGGGAAACUGCCUGAUUGAGGGGGAUAACUACUGGAAACGGUAGCUAAUACCGCAUACCAUCGGAUGUGCCCAGAUGGGAUUAGCUAGUAGGUGGGGUAAAGGCUCACCUAGGCGACGAUCCCUAGCUGGUCUGAGAGGAUGACCAGCAACACUGGAACUGAGACACGGUCCAGACUCCUACGGGAGGCAGCAGUGGGGAAUAUUGCACAAUGGGCGCAAGACUGAUGCAGACAUGCAGAGUGUAUGAAGAAGGCGUUCGGGUGGUAAAGUACUUUCAGCGGGGAGGCGUGACCAGCAGAAGAAGCACCGGCUAACUCCGUGCCAGCAGCCGCGGUAAUUC